CUUUAAUCUCAGAUUGUGACACAGUUUAUGCUAAAAGGUGACUUCUGGAUCUCUUACAUCCUCAUAUGUCUUAUACCUAAAAAAGAGCAGUUAUUUUUGUCAUUUGAUAAGAGCAUUAUUAAAUUUGUAUUUUUGGAAUCAUUCAUGAACACUGGUAAGAGUUAAUUAAGGAGAUGCACAUCACAGAUAUUCACAUUGUAGCUCAUUUAUCUGCAAGUCAAAGAGUAGCUUUAAGCAAAGGAGAAUCACACUGCAGCUCCAAAUGACUGUGCUCUUUCUAAAACUCAGGAAGAAAGUGCCAAGUACUAAGAUAAGCCAGAGCAAGAGUCACUUCCAGGCCUUCUAAGAGCUUUUCUGGCAACCUAAAUGUAUCGACAGAGAAGUUGCUGGGUCCCCAUAUUUCUUCAGUGAGCCUCCAUUUGGCAGGAAUAGUUUAAUCAAGUAGAUGGUUUAAGAUAGGGAAGCAAAAAUGUGUCCUUCAGACAAAGCAUCUUAUAUUUGGCAAAGGUUGCGGAGGCAGCGUUGUGGAGGAGACCAAAUACAGGCUUUGUGGGAUGUGAAACACCGAAAUGUGGAUUCCUGUUGCUCCAUCUACUAUUGAGUCAUCUGAAUAAGCCAUUUAACCUCAGUUCUUUUUUACCCAUCCAAAGAAAAACUACUGGGGUUGCUGGGAGAAUUGGGAAUAAGUUAUGCAAAUUGUUUGGCAAACAGUAAGCUCUCAGUAAAUAGUACCUCUUGA